rnacentral:misc_RNA from 1 species
GAUUAGCAUAGUGGACGCUUUAUAGUAGCAAAAUAAUGGAGAAAGGUCAACUUGCACUUUACCAAUUUAAGGAUUAUAGCACCUCUUGAUUCAUAUUUCAGACAACAGUUUUUAAAAACUUUCUAUGGACAUAAGCUCCAAGACAAUUCCACCAGAAAAUUUUGCAAUUCAAAGGAAAUGUGUUCUGAAGAACAAGAACAUUGUGGCAAGACCAAUAUAACUAGAUUCAGGCAUCAAUAGAUUUCUAUAAGACCAAUUUUUCCUACAUAAACAAUCAUAUUGUUUGUAUGCAAUCAUACCGUUUGC